rnacentral:rRNA from 1 species
UGGCUCAGAACGAAUGCUGGCGGCAGGCCUAACACAUGCAAGUCGAACGCACCUUCGGGUGAGUGGCAGACGGGUGAGUAACGCGUGGGAACCUGCCCUAUGGUACGGAAUAACUCUGGGAAACCGGAGCUAAUACCGUAUAAGCCCUACGGGGGAAAGAUUUAUCGCCAUAGGAUGGGCCCGCGUCAGAUUAGCUAGUUGGUAGGGUAACGGCCUACCAAGGCUACGAUCUGUAGCUGGUCUGAGAGGAUGAUCAGCCACACUGGGACUGAGACACGGCCCAGACUCCUACGGGAGGCAGCAGUGGGGAAUCUUGGACAAUGGGCGAAAGCCUGAUCCAGCCAUGCCGCGUGAGUGAAGAAGGCCCUAGGGUUGUAAAGCUCUUUCAGCGGGGAAGAUAAUGACGGUACCCGCAGAAGAAGCCCCGGCUAACUUCGUGCCAGCAGCCGCGGUAAUACGAAGGGGGCUAGCGUUGUUCGGAAUUACUGGGCGUAAAGCGCGCGUAGGCUGACUGGUCAGUCAGGGGUGAAAGCCCGGGGCUUAACCUCGGAACUGCCUUUGAUACUGCCAGUCUAGAGUCCGGCAGAGGUGAGUGGAAUUCCUAGUGUAGAGGUGACAUUCGUAGAUAUUAGGAAGAACACCAGUGGCGAAGGCGGCUCACUGGGCCGAGACUGACGCUGAGGCGCGAAAGCGUGGGGAGCAAACCGGAUUAGAUACCCUGUUAGUCCACGCCGUAAACGAUGGAUGCUAGCCGU